AUCCCGUAUAGAAAAAUAAAGCGAGUGAGAAAAAGAAAUAGCUUACAAAUCUGCCAGAAAUGAGAACGGAGAGACCGGAGGUCAUGACAAUAGAAGAGAAGAGGAUACGUCGGAGACUCGUAGUAGCUUUUCGGCGAAUGGAAGGGGCCAACAGGGGAGAGAUGGAGGGCACAGAUUUCAACAAAGGGUGAAGGAAAGAGUAAGUGAUGAGCACUCCGAGGCAGGCAGCGAUGUUUCUAGUGAGAAGUCCGGCAUAUUCGAGGACUUCGGUGGCGUCACUGAUUUUCGUUGAGAAAUCAAAUGUGGGGGGCCAUAAAAUUAGUGAAAAAAAAAAGAUGAAUGUAUCCUUUAUAAUACAAGUAUUAAUAGGUAAAAAAACCAGGGCCCCUGGCCCUAAUGAGGAUCCGUCAGUGCUUUUGGUGAUGGCCAUUUCAACCAUGAGGAUUAAUUGACAGUGCUAAUUACUAUCACAAAUUAAAUCUAAAAUAUGGUUGACUCUUAAUUACUACAAUAUCAUUUUUCUUAGUAAGAAUGCAGAAACAUAUCCAUUACGUAUGUUGCCAUAUUAACUCUAAUAUACAUGAUUAAUGAUUGUAGGUAGCAUGGAUGUUGACUGAAAGUGAAACAAAUGUUGUUAAUCCGUGUGUUCUCUCCAGCAAAUUAGUGUGUAGAUGCAUUUGCGUAUGAUAUACAGCCUUGCUCUCUUCUCUUUGAAACUCUUUCUUUUUGUGUGGAUUCUCGAUGAUUGCUUCCCUACAGAAAAAGCUAGGAGUUCCAUGGAGUCUGUUGGAAUUCUUCUGAUUUUGUUGAUUUCAACUAGAUAUAUAUAUAUAACCUUUUUAUAACUGUAAUUGCUUGUGAAAUUAAUGUCAAUGUUGAGUUUUUAAUGAAGUAAAACUCAAAAAAAGUCUCUUUAUUUCAGUAAA